AUGAACAAAAAAGCAUUCAUCCCAAACAAGUUAUUAUUCUUAUUCUUCUCCUCCUUCGAGUAUAGGCAGGCAGCCAUAGCUGAAUUUUAUUAUCAAGAAGCUCAAUUAAUAGUCAUCAUUCAUCGGCAACUUUAACCACUUGCUUUCCCAUAUUACAUCCUCUGAAUACGCCAACCACAGCCGCCGGACCGCUUUCUAUA
rnacentral:lncRNA from 1 species